rnacentral:rRNA from 1 species
UACAGAGGGUGCGAGCGUUAAUCGGAAUUACUGGGCGUAAAGCGCGCGUAGGCGGCUUUUCAAGUCGACUGUGAAAUCCCCGGGCUUAACCUGGGAACUGCAGUCGAGACUGUCUAGCUAGAGUAUGGGAGAGGGAAGUGGAAUUUCAGGUGUAGCGGUGAAAUGCGUAGAUAUCUGAAGGAACAUCAGUGGCGAAAGCGACUUCCUGGACCAAUACUGACGCUCAUGUGCGAAAGCGUGGGGAGCAAACAGG